CACGUAGGGGACGAGCGUUGUCCGGAUUCAUUGGGCGUAAAGCGCGCGUAGGCGGCCCGCUAAGUCGAACGUGAAAUCCCCGAGCUCAACUCGGGAACUGCGUCCGAUACUGGUGGGCUUGAAUCCGGGAGAGGGAUGCGGAAUUCCAGGUGUAGCGGUGAAAUGCGUAGAUAUCUGGAGGAACACCGGUGGCGAAGGCGGCAUCCUGGACCGGCAUUGACGCUGAGGCGCGAAAGCUAGGGGAGCAAACGGG
rnacentral:rRNA from 1 species